GUGAUCAUCUUGUGAAAGUUUAUUUUUUCCUGGCUGUAUUUAAAGAACUAUACUGCCAUGUUGUAGGCUGUGGCACUGUGACAAGGAACUUAGGGUGGUCUCUAGGAGCUGAGGAUGUUCUCCAGUUGAACAUCAACAGGACAUUGAAAUUCUGUGUCCUUCAACUGCAAGGAACUAAAUUUUGCCAACACAAAUGAAUCUUUCUCCAGUUGAGUUUCAGAUGAGACUGCACUUGCAGACAAAUCCUUAUUGCAAUCUUGUUCACCCUAAACAGAGGACUCAGCUAAGCCCUUCCCAGAUUCCAGAUCCAUAGAAAUUUUAAGAUGAGAAUUGUGCAUCAAUGUUCAAGUCCCAAGAGAUGUUAUCAGUCUGAACAGCCCAGUGAACAAGUAUUUGUGACCCUCCUUCCAAAUGAAACGUUCUAUAGAAAGGUGGAAGUGUGUUGAUUACUGGCAGGGUUCUCUGGUCAUCUUAUCCUACAUGAUUCUCCCUCCACUUCUAUCAACAUGGAGUUUUGUACUCAGCAAAAUAAAAAUCUUUCAAAACUGAGGACCAAAACAAACAAACAAAAAAAGACAUUUUUUAUAUUAAAAAACCAAGAGACUUUGUUGGUAGCAAAUUAAAACUACAAUAAAUGGUUAAAUGAAGGAACAUGAUAUCAAUUGG